CAAUAGCGUAUAUUAAAGUUGUUGCGGUUAAAAAGCUCGUAGUUGGAUUUCUGCUGAGAACGACCGGUCCGCCCUUUGGGUGUGUAUCUGGCUCUUUCUUGGCAUCUUCUUGGCGAACGUUGCUGCACUUGACUGUGUGGAGCGCUACCCAGGACUUUUACUUUGAGGAAAUUAGAGUGUUUCAAGCAGGCAUACGCCUUGAAUACAUUAGCAUGGAAUAAUAAGAUAGGACCUGGUUACUAUUUUGUUGGUUUGCAUAGCUAGGUAAUGAUUAACAGGGACAGUUGGGGGUAUUCGUAUUUAAUUGUCAGAGGUGAAAUUCUUGGAUUUAUGAAAGACGAACGACUGCGAAAGCAUUUACCAAGGAUGUUUUCAUUAA
rnacentral:rRNA from 1 species